rnacentral:lncRNA from 1 species
CGCUGGAAAAAUUCUCCGAGUGUCUUAUAUAUUUCCUGGGGGCCUAACUGUAGGACAAGAAUCUCUGCCCUCAGGGGCUGAUGCUCCAACACAGUGUGAGAGCCAGACAUAAACAACUACAAGACAGGCAGAGCACGACUGUCACUCCAAGAGAGGCCCACGCUGCUCUGGGAGCCGAGAGGGGGCUGGUGCCCCACAUAGGGGAUAACUGAGCUGGCCCUUGAAGCAUGGACCAGAUUAUGACCAGUAGGAACGGAGGAAGAGGGCACUGGAAAAAGAUGGAACAAGGAGAGUGCAUAAUCAGGGUUCUCCAGAGAAACAGAACCAACAGAAUGUGUGUAUAUAUGGACACAGAGAGAUAGAUUUUAAAGAGUGGGCUUAUGCAGUUGUCAGGGUUGGCAAGUCCAAAAUCUGCAGAGCAGAACAACAGGUUGGAGACACAGGGACGAGCAGCAGUUUGAGUUCAAAGGCAGUCUAUCGGCAGAAUUCCCUCUGUAGUCCAGUCUUUUUCUUAAGACCUUCAAGUGAUUAGAUGAGGCCCACCCACGUUAUGGAAAGCAAUCUUCUAUACUCAAAGUCCCAGCCAAGUUAACAGAGUAUGUCUUAUGCACCUUUGCAUGCCCCAUUCCUGACACUACGACUCCCAUGAGUUGUCCAAAGAAAAUAAUUCAAAGGACUCAAAUAGAGGUUAAAGGCUUCAUUCAGCUGAUGAGGUCAGGGAGCACCUGAAGGCCAGCCAGGUAUAAAAUGAUGUGAUCAGACUACCAGAGCUCAAGAAGUCCCCAGUGAUCAAGGCUGAGCAGGAGGAAUGAGCAGAAGCUCACAGAAUUGGCGUGUAUCUCUAGCUUGAUGAAGCAGUCAUUUAAUACAGGGCAUUUCAUGUGAUCUCAGAAAGGAGAGCAG